rnacentral:lncRNA from 1 species
ACUUUAGGAGUGCCAAAAGCACUCUUUGGUCCAUGUUUUUGGAGUUCACGGUCCAAGAUCUUCUUGGGCCGUGAACACCCAAACUUUGGUGUUUCAUUGUUGUUUUCUUGUCCCAAUUACACCUAUAUACAAGCCUAAGGUAGUAACAUAUCACGGGGGAAAGGCUAGGCAUUGUUUUGGGAGUUUACCGACCAAGAACACCUUGGGGAGUAAACUCCUAAAUCUAGUUGUUUAGCUAUGAUAUCUAUGUUAUAAACACAUUAUAAGCUAUAUAACACUACUAAGGAGAGGUACUCAAGAUUUGGGAUGAAAACCCGAAGAUCCGUGAGAAAGAAAAUGACUUUUCUCUAGUUGGAAAUGUAACUACUGAAUGAAUAUGGUUCAGAUUUCUAUUUAUAGUCCUGAGAUUUUUGGCAAAAAAUAUUUUAUUCCCUGAAUGAACUCUAAUAUCAUAGAGUUUUGGAAUAACAGUGUUGCACAAAACCCUAGUGCAUCCAAUCUCCUGAUAUCUCCUUAAGUGUUAAACCUGAAAUACUCAAACUUAUACUCAAAGUCUGAAAUUUCUCUGUAACUGUUCCAACUUCUAUUAGCUUGAUAUGUUUUGUUCAGAAUGAAAAUUUUGAGUUGUCACAUCAUCCCCCUGUUAAAGGGAAUUUCGUCCCGAAAUUAUAAUUUAGGCAAGGAAGUAGGUAGAAGUGAUCCAGUCGUUAGGUGAAUUUCCUAAUCGCUUUGUUCCUCACGCUCCAAAGUGAAAUCGGGUUCUCGGUUGGUAUCCCAAUGAACCUUCACUAACGGGAGACGGUGUUGCUUCGUCCGCUUGACCACUCGGUCGAGGGUCACUACGGUUCUAAUACGAAGGCGAGGAUCUCGUAAAUCUCGAUCUCGUUGAGAGGGCUUACGACAGUCCUAAUCGGAAAGGUAUUGUUUCAAGUUCGAGUUGCGAAGGGUAAAAUGUACGUUACUGAGUUCGCGGGGGUAGGUCUAGUUUGUGAGACGCAGGACCGAUUCUGGUAAGAAUACCGGAGGUCCCAACUACAUUGGAUUUAGCUUUCCACGCUUUACGAAGCGUACUAAGCCGUUCCCAGAGUGAGGUUUCCUAAAGAAUUUGGUCUCUCACUUGGAAUUCCAAAGGUUCUUUCUCUCGCAUAACUUCCCAGUCAAGGACCGCCCCUUGUUGGGUCAAAGUCAAAAGGGUUUCUGAAAUUUACGAGGUGUUCUAAAUGGACUAUGAUAGUAGGUCUGUAAGACCUAGGAUUUGGCGAAUUUUCCGUCGGUGACUACGGUGCCGACAAAUUCCCAAUGGUUUUGGAUAAUUUGCCAGAGUACUCCAGAAUUUCCACAUCACUAAUAGUGUGUCUCAGAAAAUUUGACUCUUAAUUCCAAAGCUCAUGUUCAGAGAAUUUUGCGAAAAGUAUCUCCGAGGGUAAUGUUUCUAUGGGUUCUUUCUUACUAUGAGGGUAGAUAAGUAAGUAAUUACAUGGAGAAAUGACGAACUGAUCCCAGUAAGAAAGGCGUACUCCACUUAUUUAGCUCAUGAAUACGAUGGGCGUAUUGGUCCUAUCCGAGGGGUAUCACUACGGACUCAAAAUGUCCGCAUCGAGUUUGGAGGGUAGUCUUCAGGACAUCCUUCCCUAUCACUCGAACUGGUGAUAUUCGGAUCUCAGGUCCAUUUCUGGAAGUAACUCUUUCCCUGUGUUUGUUCAAUCAUCUCGUCUAUGCAAGGCAGAGACAACGAUUUCUAAAGGAAAUCUUAAUGAAGUCUCCGGUCGUCGAGGUACAUAUGAUGCACUCCGUCGACUUCUGGAAAGAAUAAGAUCGGAGCUCUCAAGGGUGAGAAACCUGGUCUUCUAAUUCUAUUGUUAAGUAGUUCGCUGUGUUGUCCGGGCUGUUCUUGUAUCUUCCGUAGGUGUUUAGACUGUAAGGUGAUCUGGUUAUAAGAGUCAUACAGGUUUCUAAGUUUGUUCCCAUGCCAAUGCAAUUACUCAUACUCUUCGACAGACUCCGUCCUGAAGUUCAUAUUAGAAUUCAUAUAUGGUUCAAUGAUCACAAUCUCGUGUAUACGAGUCGUAUAUAAUUAAGAUUGAAAAGGUAGUCGAAUAACUGAUUCUUCCUUAAUCUCACAUCCCAUCAAGGGAAAAGAAGUUAAAGUGGAAUCAUCAAUUCUAAACCUAUAGAACAUUGAUUAUAUAUCACUCUCAUGUAUACAUUCUUCAGUGAUAGAUCAACCAUGUGAAUCCUUGAAUUGAACUUGACGUACUGCACGAGUAAUACUGUGGGGAUUCCUUCGGAAAGGAAAAGAACUAUCAGGUACUCCAUGCACGAGUACCUCGGUGUUUUGAUAUGACGGCUUCGCUAAAAGACGUUUGCUGAGAAAGAGAUGUACUUAUGAAGCUGGUAUUGCGAGGAUCGAAUUUACUCGAGUCGUAUGAUAAGGUCGGAAUCAUAUGGAAAUUAAAGACAUUAGAUUUGAAUAUAAGGCGUUACAGACAAAACACAACAGUGCAAAUUUUAACAGAGUUACUGUACUUAGGAUUUACUACAAGACUAUUGCUGCGAACAAGGUAUACUACAAAGACAAGUAUACGCAGCACGAGCAUCCCUAAACGGACGGGAUCCCACAAAAGAUAAGACUUUGGUUGCAUUAGUGUUCGGAUGGUUCAUAAGUCUGUUACAAUGAAACGCCUAAAUUACAUUAACGUGGGUCUGGAGUAGACUCUCCUGUGGUGAUGGUCGGUAGCAUACUUUCGUCUGUGCCAGCAUUUGCUACCUCUGGGCAGUUCCUUCUGUAGUGACCUACCUUGCCACAACCGUGGCAAGCUUGGUUUACAUUGGUGCUUGGCACUUGGUUGAUCAGCCUUGCUAGGCUCUUGCAGUAACGCUUGGUGUGACCCUUUCUAUUGCAGUGUGAGCACUGCACCCCCUACAAGGUCCAUGGUGGUGAAAACAGCAUUGGAUGCAUUUUGGGAGAUUCCCAGCAUAUUGCUUGGCUGGGUUAAGGACAAUUGGGAUUCUCUAAGGGAUGGUAGUUGGAGGUACUGAUGUUGUGGCUGUGAAGGUUGUUACUGGUUGUUGUUUCCUGUUCGCCCUUCGAAGCGACUUGUCCUUAGAUUUAGCCCAAUACUUCCUUUUGUUACUCUUGGCCUUGGGACUCGGGGUAUCGUGGUAGUUUGUUGUUCGUUGCGGUGCUUGAUUGUUACUUGGAUUGGAAUGAUUGUUAACAAUCCCACUAACACUUGCAUUGUUAGCGUUCAGGUGGGUCAGAAUAGCUGACACGGCAGCCGAGACUGCAACUUGAAAGGUAGCUGCAUCAAUCUGAACAGUUGGUGUUUGGUUGAUGGGCUGAUCGUUUUUCUUGGGCGACAUGAUUCUGUUAUACUGAAAGAAAAUGAAUUUGUGAGCGAUGAUGGUUGAACCUAGACGUAGUUCGAUCGCUCAUGCAAAGAAUAGAAGUAUGUUCUCAAAGGUUCGACCUACAUCCCUAUGGUGCAGUCCUAGUACAGAAUGGAAGUAUGUUCACGAAGGUUUGACCUACAUCCCAAUGAUGCAGUCCUAGCAAAGAUUGGAAGUAAGUUGGUAAAAUGGUCUCAAGACGUUUGCUGUUCGAACCGAGGUAUCAUUGGUUGGUGAAUAACAUGAUCCAACCAUUAAAAGAGACUUGGAGAUGUCUCCGAAGUUAAAUUGCUAUAGUCCAAGGACUUAACUAAAUCAUGUUUCAGAUAGACUCUAAUGAAAGUAUGAUAAGAGUAUUUGAAUAAAGAAUGACACAGAAGUUAGCCGACUGUCAAUAUCUUUGGUAUUCAUGACGUACAAGUUCGGUAAAAUGACCUUGUAAGAAGGUCUUACAUCAUAUCCAGAGAAGAAAGUUCUUGACAGCAUAAAGACCUAACCAAAAGUACUUAAAAUACAAGAUAGUUUCAUAGAAAAUGCCACGUUGGGCAUAGACAGAAACACGAUUCCUUUCUAACAAGGAAAAUAAAUUAAAGUAUCUACUACUAGCGACGGUCAUCCCUCUGGUGAACUCUCAGUUCAGCCAGUUGGCGUUCCACAUCAAGUAGGUGUCUUUCGUACACUCUCUGGCGUACUCGAAGUUCUUUGACUUCGGCUCGUGAUUUAGCUAGUGCUUGCAACAGGGUUUCAUGGUCUCUUUCAGACCUCUCAUGAGCAUGUUCAAGGUGACUGGUACGAAGCAUAUGCAUUCCUCCAAUUGUAUCCACUUCUACGAUACGUUGUAGGGUUGUCAUGCCCUGAAUUUCGUUUCGGGCAACUCUACGGAUCAGAAUUGGUAGAACUCUGUCUGCUGAGCUUCCUUCACUUACGUUGUAGAAACUUUGGUCUCCAUUGAACGGCAUAGGUUGAUCUUGAUCUUCGCUCCAUGUUUCCAGACAUUCCACCCAUGGAGGCGUCGGGCCAUGAAAGGUCGGACGAGGGUUAGGAAUUGGAAAGGGAGCUGUCUGAGGUACGUUCUUAACCUCGGGUUUGGAGAUAGCACCGUCUGAAAGGUCUUUAGCAUGGUGAUAAUCCAGAGGGAUCGGAUGAUCAUUAUCUGGUUCUUCUCCAAACCACCCAGCAAUAACCUCGUUCGGAAGGAACAGGUUGCCGUAGGGAUGGAAUCCAUCCAUGUUAUCUACGCGAGAAUUAGGGUAAGAAAAUAAUUAUUAGACGAACUAUCUAGAUAAUUAUUUAGGAAAUCUUCAUUAGUUACAUCGCUAUUUGUAAAGUGCAUACCAGUUAUAUGUAAUCAACACAGGAUAGGCCUCCGAAUAAGUGACCUCAACUCCAAAUUCACAAGGAAUAGGGGUAAAGCAAAAUUUUCACCAAUUCUAAGUCUAUAACAUCCUAGUUACAUAUAAAUUUAGUGUAUCCACUUAGCAACUAUCAACUUGGUAAUGAAGAUCCCGUUUUAGUUAUCAAGUAUAAAGUACUUAUAGUAACACAAAACACCCUAUGGUAUUUUAGACAUAGGUUCUGUUAUAAUGUUCUCCUUGUGGUAAUGCUGAUAAGUUUUUAGACCUGUUUCCAUAUCACAACCAUUCUUAGGCAUGUGCUAAUCACUCCUAGGAACAACAUAGUUGAUCAGGCUAUGCCACUCCUAAGACUGACCAUACAUCCCCGAGCUUACCUGUGAUAUUCAACAAUCGCAAGACUUUUGUUCUUGUCAUUGUGACACGGAUUUUAGUAUGAAUGCAGGCACGUAUACUUUAUUAAAUAUUUUAUUAUUUAAAAGUAUAUACUCUUAGACAGAGUGUUUUGAUCCCAAUGUAUUUAUAGUUAGUAUAUCUUUUAUGGGUUGAUAUACUUAAUUCACUAUAAACAGUGCUCUGAUACCAAUCUGUCACACCCCAAAACCAAGAACGGCGGAAACGUUCCGGGGUGGAGGACGUCAUGUGAAGUAUCAUAACAGUGUAAAGUAGUAAACAAGUAACAACAUCAUCCAUUGCAUUAAAGGUAAAGUUUAAAUACAUGUGUGUUCUUUCUUAAUGUACAACAAUAACAUGAAUAAUCAAAAUAAGAUGAGUCUUGACUGUGCUCCGUCUUCUCUAAACCUGGUUACCGUACCUGUCUAACUGGUGACCUGAGAAUACAAGUUAUUUUGAAAGCGAGUAUCAGCCUAAAGCUGGUGAAUUCAUAAGUAUUUAAGUGUCAUUGUCUUGUUUGGAAAACUGUUAUGAAUGCCUUGUAAAUCUUUAAAUGAAACAAUUGAUAUAAGUUUGAAAACCCUAGAAAAUCCCUUAUUUCCUACUAGUAUGAAAUGUAGUCUUCUACCAAGACCCGAAUGUUUUGUAAAUAAAAUGAUAGUUUUUCCUUUCUAUUGACUAGUACUAAAAGUACUUAGUCUAACUCUUUGUUUAUGUGAAUGCAUCACAAAAUAAAGUAAAUAGCAAACUGUACUAAUGUAAGUGUUAUCCCGAAGUAUUAGGGCUAGCACGCCAUCGCAAAAAGCGAAAUGUAUAACCUAAUGAACAUCCGAAGAUUGUCCAGUUGUCCUCUGUAGCAGCAGCAGGGCGGAGGAAAGGUUAGUCCCGUAAACGAAUCCUAAUAUAAGUAUUAACCGUAGACCUCCGUAGAUGGUCAUCAACCUCUGUAGUGAACAGUAGGCUCGAGGAAUGGUUAGUCCCGUAGCUUACUCCUAAUAUAAGUAGUAACCGUAGGCAUCCGUAGAUGUUCAUCACCCUUGAACUGGGCUCCGGAAUGGUUAGUCCCAUCUAGACAUCCCCUUGAACUGGGAUGGGCAUGAAAAUUUACACAGAAGGUACGAAUAAAUCUUCCUCGUAACUCUAGGUACAAGUAUCCAUGUAAGUGAAUACAGGAAAAAUGUAUCUAUGUAACAGUACUCAUGUAUGGUAUUCAUGUAAGCGUAUUCAGAUAAAUGUAUCUAUGUAAACGUACUCAUGUAUCAUGUAAGCCUAGGUAACUGUACUCAUGUAUCAUGUAAGCAUAUGUAAGUGUACUCAUGUAUGGAAUAAUGUACUGGUAUCUUCUAACUAUCCCUAUGAUAGUUAACUAAAAGGUAAUUAGUUGUUCAAGAAGGUUUAUACACCCUUGCUACACAAGAGUGUGGGAAACUGAAUGAAGGAUGAAAACUAUAAUCUCAAAACAUUUAUAUGAACAUAAGUGUAUAGGUAUAGUUUUGUUCAAGAAGGUAAAAAUAAUGGUAUUGUAAGAUAUCUAAGAGUUUUGAACAAUAAUUAAGAGUGACUUGAUGUCAUUUUAAUAAACAUUUCAAAACUAAUACUUUUGUUAUCAAGGUAUUUUAAGAUAGAAAACCAUUUCAUGUAUCACAUUUUGAAGUAUGUGAAAUCUACUGGAUGAAAACACAGUUACAAAAUACAUAAGAGUGAUUUAAUAACAUAUUGUUUUCUACUUGUAUCCCCCCAUUAAAGCAUUUNCUAAAGCAUUUAAAAACAUUUAAAACAUUGAUUUAGGGGUAUGAACUCACCUGUAGAUGGUGGUUUGGAUGAAUUGAAUGGUGUAGGAUUGUUAGGUGUCAAGUGAGGGCUUGUACACACACUACGAUCCUAAUGAACAUAUAAUCACACAUAUAUGCACUUAAUUAGUCUUAAAUUACUAUUUGAUAAUGUUAAGACAUCCUAGAACACAAUAAACACUUUAUAUAAGUGUUAUAAGUCCUAAGGAUUUCAUCUAAGUUGUUGUGGGACAAGGCUAGUGAGUUUAGGGUUCCAAGGGACCUCAUACUUGAGUUUACUCUCCAUAUAACCCCACACAAGGAGUUUACGGUCGUAAACUCUUGAGUUUAUGGCCGUGAACUCCUAGGCUUAAUGUCCUUUGUUGUUUUGAGGUUCUAAAUGAUCCCUAGAAGCAUUCCAACUUGGUGGAUUAAUUCGUGGAAGGGUUUAGGGAAUAGAUACACUCCUUUGAGGAGUUUACGGCCCCAAGGCCAAUUCCAUUUGAGUUUACUACCGUAAACUCUUAUGGAAGGGUGUUUUUGAUGCUUUCAAGUCUCAUGCACAUGUAGGAUAGGUUCUAGACUUUUACCUAAAGCAAAUGAAGUCCUUAGGCACACAUUGGUGCCCUUCUUUCAUGUUUACGGACCAAGCACAAUAUUAGGGUCGUAAUCUCUCUUUGAGAGGGGUUUUUGAUGUUUUAAAGUCCUUGAUUUAUGUAGGAGUAAACCUAGGUAAUUGUCCAAUACUUUAAGAGUGCCAAAAGCACUCUUUGGUCCAUGUUUUUGGAGUUCACGGUCCAAGAUCUUCUUGGGCCGUGAACACCCAAACUUUGGUGUUUCAUUGUUGUUUUCUUGUCCCAAUUACACCUAUAUACAAGCCUAAGGUAGUAACAUAUCACGGGGGAAAGGCUAGGCAUUGUUUUGGGAGUUUACCGACCAAGAACACCUUGGGGAGUAAACUCCUAAAUCUAGUUGUUUAGCUAUGAUAUCUAUGUUAUAAACACAUUAUAAGCUAUAUAACAC